UUGUAGCUCAGUUGGAUAGAGCAACGGCCUUCUAAGCCGUGGGUCGGGGGUUCGAAUCCCUUCA
rnacentral:tRNA from 3 species